rnacentral:rRNA from 1 species
ACAGAGGCCUCGAGCGUUAAUCGGAGUCACUGGGCUUAAAGGGUGCGUAGGCGGCGCUGCAAGUGCCUUGUGAAAUCCCACGGCUCAACCGUGGAAUUGCUCGGCAGACUGCGGUGCUUGAGGUUGGUAGGGGUCGCUGGAACUCUAGGUGGAGCGGUGAAAUGCGUAGAUAUCUAGAGGAACGCCGAAGGUGAAGACAGGCGACUGGGCCAAUUCUGACGCUGAGGCACGAAAGCGUGGGGAGCGAACGGGA